CGUUCCCGGGCCUUGUACACACCGCCCGUCACACCACGAGAGUUUGUAACACCCGAAGUCGGUGGGGUAACCCUUACGGGAGCCAGCCGCCGAAGGUGGGACAGAUGAUUGGGGUG
rnacentral:rRNA from 1 species